rnacentral:rRNA from 1 species
GGGAGGUAGUGACAAUAAAUAACAAUACGGGGUUCUAUAGGAUUUCGUAAUUGGAAUGAGUACAAUUUAAAUCUCUUAACGAUCAACAAUUGGAGGGCAAGUCUGGUGCCAGCAGCCGCGGUAAUUCCAGCUCCAAUAGCGUAUAUUAAAGUUGUUGCAGUUAAAAAGCUCGUAGUUGAAUUUCGGGAUUAGUAAGUUGGUCGUGCCUCUGGUAUGUACUGGCUUUACUGGUUCCUCCUUCUUGAAGAACUGUAAUGUCAUUAAUUUGGUGUUGCAGGGAAACAGGACUGUUACUUUGAAAAAAUUAGAGUGUUUAAAGCAGGCUAACGCUUGAAUACAUUAGCAUGGAAUAAUGAAAUAGGACGUUUGAUCCUAUUUUGUUGGUUUCUAGGAUUGACGUAAUGAUUAAUAGGGAUAGUUGGG